GAGAACUUCAGCUUCCCUUGGGCUCUGCUGUAACGUGCUGCUGGAAAACGCAGCUGGCUGGAGCACGGUGGCAUUGGAGAGAUGCGGGCUGCCCUGGAGUUCAGAACAAGCUGUAUCAGAGGACAAUCAAGGAUGAAGCACUACAAUUCAGAUGUCCAGGGUGAAGGAAAGGAAGAGGGAAUGGAGGUGCAGAGUGUUUCUGCAUUCCCAGCUGAGGAACAUGCAUAACAGCAGAUGUUUUUCUUUGAAGAGAGAGAGUGGCAAAGCUCAAGAGACACAGCAGUUCAGAAGGAACUGCAGGAAUCACACCCAAGUUCCUCGGGAUUAGUAUCGUCCCAGCAGUCAUAUUUUCACCCUAGGAAAAUGAAACAUUGCCCAAUUAGCAAUAUUUUGUCACUUGUAGUAUAAGAGAUCUCCUCUCUCAACACCUGUUUACUUUAUAGUUUUCCCAGUAAAAUUUGCGUCUAUUUAAGAUAACUGAUCCUAAUGAUUUAAUUGGCAUCUGCUAUUAGAUGUUCUCAAAAAGUUUGUUCUGAAUUCAAGGUUGAUAGUAGCAGGAGUGAAUUACAGACUUGAGUUUCUAGUCGAAGGAAAUGGGUUUCAGUAUGUCCCCAGAAGGAAUUUGGUUAUGAUUAAUGUGAACAGGGCAGUGUAACAGUUGAUGAGAGCAAAGAUGACUUCCGGGAGGGCAAAUGGUUAUUUAACAUCAGAAUUAAAUUGCUAUCUUUGUUGCCUAGACCAAGUAUGAAAACUCUGUGUCUUAUGCAGACAUAAUAGAGUCACAUAUGUUGUCCCAUGACAAAGUAGUAUUAGCAAAAGGAAGGGUUUGCUUUCAGGUUUCUUUUUAAUAAGACUGACUUUCUCCAUGCAAGGUCACUUUGCACUUAUUUCACCUCUGUGUAUUGCCUCAGUUAAGAGACACAUCCACAGAGGCAAUGCAUGGUUGACUAAGCUUACACUGUAAUAAAGACUACUUUUCUUCAAGGUUGGGGAAAGAUUUUCAAGAUAACAUGCUUUUACCAAAGCCCCUGAAGUUAGGCAAAUCAACAAACUCUGAACACUUAUAUCACAUUGAUUUUUGAGUUUACAGGAGGCCUGAACAGUCCAAAUUGGAAACUGAAACAGUGCUAGGAGCUGCUCUAACUUGUGUUCCAGCUCAUAUAAUCCCACAGGCUUUCUGCAUCAGGAAAAGAACUGAAACAGAGAAAUGCUGUGAGCCUCAGCUCUGACUUCUCUCUAGCUGCUAACAUACGUUUAGGACAUUUGCCAAAUGGCUAUUUUACAGAGGGCAUUGAGGAACUACAGGGUCCAGGCUGAUGCUUUGUGUCCUGUGCAGUAGGACUGAACAAGAACCAUACAUUUACCAAGGGACUAAUUUAAAAUGCAUGUUUUUUCUCAGCUGCACCACACAGGCACAGUGGUCUUGUCUGCAGCAUUAUGGAGGGCCUUUCUCAUUCUUCUCCUCCCUGGGCCACAUAGUUUUCAUGUGCUUUUGGUUUUUUUCAUAUGGGAUUUUUGCUAUAUCAUCCUUGGCUGAGACAGAUCUACCCAAGCAAGCAGAGAGCGUUUCAGUUUUGCAGCUUGGAUCUGGAGUCUGUAUUCAAAUCUCCAUGGUCUUACGAAGGGUCUGAGGGUAAGACGUGCACCACUGUUGGCUCUGGGCUGUCGCCGGUGGCACGAUGUAGCACCUCGCAGGGGGACUCAAAGUACCUCACGGUUGAUGCCUUUAUCUUUGUUUCUUUUCAGACUUCAACCUACCCCCAAGCUAAACAACAUGCAGGUGGACGAGGCUGUCUGUUUUAAUGGUUUCAGACAAAACACUUCAUAGAACCUCUUAGGAUUCAUGAGCUUCUCUGAAAAUAGUGACUGUAUUUGGAUCUUCUUGUAAUAAAGAGAGGCAGUUGUGGCUAGGUUAAGGAAGAGGUGUGCUCCUAAACCUCAGUGGAAUUUACUUCGGGAGUAUUGCUCAGAGGAGACAUCCUGGCUGCUCAGAGGUGGGCAGUGUCAUAAAUAAAUGGCAGUUAAAUUGAGAAGGAGAAAGAGGACAUGAGAAAGUGUAAGGAAUAAUAAUUGGAAGUUAAAAAUCCCUAAGGAAAAUAUCAACUAUAG